GAAAAGAGGCAAAGAUGACACGAAAAGAGGCAAAGAUGACACAGAAAGAGGCAAAGAUGACACAUAAAGAGGAAAAGGUGACACGAAAAGAGGCAAAGAUGACACAGGAAGAGGCAAAGAUGACAUGAAAGAGGCAAAGAUGACACGAAAAGAGGCAAAGAUGACACAUAAAGAGGCAAAGAUGGCACGUAAAGAGUCAAAGAUGGCACAAAAAGAGGCAAAGAUGGCACGUAAAGAGGCAAAGAUGACAGAAAGAGGCAAAGAUGACAGAAAGAGGCAAAGAUGGCACGUAAAGAGGCAAAGAUGACAGAAAGAGGCAAAGAUGGCACGUAAAGAGGCAAAGAUGACACAGAAAGAGGCAGAGAUGACACAGAAAGAGGCAAAGGUGACACGAAAAGAGGCAAAGAUGGCACGUAAAGAGGCAAAGAUGACACGAAAAGAGGCAAAGAUGACAGGAAGAGGCAAAGAUGACACAGGAAGAGGCAAAGAUGACACGAAAAGAGGCAAAGAUGACACAGGAAGAGGCAAAGAUGACACGAAAAGAGGCAAAGAUGACAGGAAGAGGCAAAGAUGACACAGGAAGAGGCAAAGAUGACACAUAAAGAGGCAAAGGUGACACGAAAAGAGGCAAAGAUGACACAGGAAGAGGCAAAGAUGACACAGAAAGAGGCAAAGAUGGCACAAAAAGAGGCAAAGAUGGCACGUAAAGAGGCAAAGAUGACACGAAAAGAGGCAAAGAUGACACAUAAAGAGGAAAAGGUGACAUGAAAAGAGGCAAAGAUGACACAGGAAGAGGCAAAGAUGACACGAAAAGAGGCAAAGAUGACACGAAAAGAGGCAAAGAUGACACAGAAAGAGGCAAAGAUGACACAUAAAGAGGAAAAGGUGACACGAAAAGAGGCAAAGAUGACACAGGAAGAGGCAAAGAUGACAUGAAAGAGGCAAAGAUGACACGAAAAGUGGCAAAGAUGACACAGAAAGAGGCAGAGAUGACACGAAAAGAGGCAGAGAUGACACGAAAAGAGGCAAAGAUGACACAUAAAGAGGCAAAGAUGGCACGUAAAGAGUCAAAGAUGGCACAAAAAGAGGCAAAGAUGGCACGUAAAGAGGCAAAGAUGACAGAAAGAGGCAAAGAUGACAGAAAGAGGCAAAGAUGGCACGUAAAGAGGCAAAGAUGACAGAAAGAGGCAAAGAUGGCACGUAAAGAGGCAAAGAUGACACAGAAAGAGGCAGAGAUGACACAGAAAGAGGCAAAGGUGACACGAAAAGAGGCAAAGAUGGCACGUAAAGAGGCAAAGAUGACACGAAAAGAGGCAAAGAUGACAGGAAGAGGCAAAGAUGACACAGGAAGAGGCAAAGAUGACACGAAAAGAGGCAAAGAUGACACAGGAAGAGGCAAAGAUGACACGAAAAGAGGCAAAGAUGACAGGAAGAGGCAAAGAUGACACAGGAAGAGGCAAAGAUGACACAUAAAGAGGCAAAGGUGACACGAAAAGAGGCAAAGAUGACACAGGAAGAGGCAAAGAUGACACAGAAAGAGGCAAAGAUGGCACAAAAAGAGGCAAAGAUGGCACGUAAAGAGGCAAAGAUGACACAUAA